CCUCUGCCUGUGUCUUCCUGGUGGGCUGGGCAUCAGACGCUGCGCAGCACAGCAGGGUCAUUUCCAGACAGUGAUGCGUUUCAGGCAAUAACAGUGGAAGUAGGAGGAGACCGAGGAGACUGACUAUCCCUGCCGCUGCAGCCUGCUCCACCCCGCACAUCUGCGCCUCCAGCUCGGAAACUUCUGCGGAACAGCGGAACGUCCGGAGGCGAGUGGAGCAGCUCAGAAGAUCACGGGAACAUCUCAACGAGGAACAUGGAUUCUUCCACUGUGUCGUACAACCCGGGAAAUGCAGUGAUGGUCACCCCGGUGCUCCCGGACGCUCCCAACGGGGAGCAGCAGCCAUCGUUGGAUAGAAGACACAACUUCAGGAAGGGACAUCCUAAGGCACUCGGGAUCGUUCAGAUCAUGACUGGUGCAUUAAUGCUGCUGUCUGGGAUCGCGAUGGCUUUCUACCAACCUUCAGUGGAAGUUGCCACCAGGUUCAUUGUUGGGGGAGCUUUGAUCUACAUCACAUCUGGAGCGGUGACGGUGGCUGCUGAGAAGUUUUUGAGUCAUUGUCUGAUCAACACUUCUCUGGCGUUCAACAUUAUUGCAGCGAUGGCUGCUGCAGCUGCUGCUAUCAUGUAUGCAUUUGGUCUUGUCUUCAUGAGCUUGUUCAGCGUCUUCAGUUCUCAGGAUUACAGCGGUGGCUAUUUGGCUAUGCUGGCUAUGCUCCAGUUUGUGGAGCUCAUUAUUUCUAUCAUCGUGGCAAGAUACGCCUGUAAUGCAACUUGCGGCUGCUGCACGGAGGACCCUCAAGUCAUCGUUCAAGCUGUAGAAGGACCGAACUCCACCCAACCUCCGCCCUAUUACCAAACAUCUGUUGCCCCCACUCAUCCAUACCCUGAGGUGGCGCCCAACGUUAAAAACCAAGGAGAUCUGGGUUCUGCUGAGCCUCCACCCUACCAACCUAACUGACCCACACACAUUGGCCACGUUUACAUGGGCCCCAUAUAAUCGGAUUGUAAGGUGGUGUCCUACUUUAAAAAAGGAGAUCUGGGUUCUGCUGAGCCUCCACCCUACAACCUAACCGACCCACACACAUUGGCCACGUUUACAUAGGCCCCGUAUAAUGGGAUUGAAAAGUGAAACGGAUUGUCAGUAUGUCAUAUAAACACUCGAGUGCUUGACUCGGAGACGAUUGUAUUUUGGAUCUGAUUGUACGACGUAGUCUGCGCUGAUUGAUCAUCCGGUCCUUGUCUUAUAUAUACUGCCCUUGACUGCAGAACGGAUUAAAUGGGGGAUUAUUCAUUCUGCGCAUGCGUUCCCUUGCACAUAGUGACGUGAUGACGUGCGCAGUAAACGAAAGCAGGAAAGUCAAAAACAGACAGAACUUGACAGUGAUUGAGAUUUUUUUUUUUUUUAUAAAACUACAAAGACAAACAUUGGAGAGUAGAGAUGGCUGCAAAUCGUGCAACAGCGAGUUGUUCAGAGCUACAUGGCAGACUACUAGCAGAUCGCCCAGCUGGUGUUAUUGAUUAACUGGUUCCCAUGUUUACCAGUGACAGAAUUCUGUGUAAAGACAUGCUGGUAACAGCAGAUGUUAACAUAAGACUCACAAAAGACACUAAACUUAGAAAUUUAUUGUAACUGUAGAUAACCGAUGUUCACGAAAACGAUUACAAGUUUCAGUCGUAUUCCAACAUCUUUUGGUCACAAAUUAACAUGGGCACCAGUUAAUUCGAAACAUCGGCAGGCGGAGCGGAGUCCCGGUGCACAUCCCGGGAUGUGCCGGCAGGGCGGUACUCCAACCGGGGGAGUGAUCGCUCUUUGACCACCGUAUCAUGAAGAUGUUGGAACAUUAUUUGAGCAGAUAACCAGCAGAUAAAAACACUCUGCUCGGCGCUGAGGACUGCUGGCUGCAAAAGACCUGAAAAUUCAGAGAGAGACUUUGUGCACAUGUCACAGGACGUGUAUAAUCCGCUUCACCCAGGGCCCUUUUAAAUGAAUAUUGAUCGUGGAUCACUUUGUAUGCCGUCCAUAUAUAUACAUGCGUUUAACACGAUUGUUUUCAAUUGGAUUGAAAAAACACCCAUGUAAACUGGGCCAUUGACUCCGAUCCUUGCAAAGCUGCUGGUUGAGCUGGUAUUUAUUUUUCUGUGACCUUAAAAUAUGUCAGUGAGAGAUGUGGAAACAGUUGAACAAUAAGGACAAAAGUAAAAACGAAACCAGCCUUUCAUAGAAUGUAUUUGAAGAAGCUUCAUGGUGGUAAAUGUGGAUUCUCCUUCAGGCUUUUAAUAAAGGAAGAGAGAUUAAGGGAGAACGUGUAGGAAGGUCAAUAAAUGAGUACAAGCUGCAAAGUGAUAUAUCAUUGCUGAAAUAUUUUGUAUCAGAUAAUACUUUGAAAAUCAGUGUGCAAAGUAGAUUUGGUUUGAGGUCAUAUGAAAUUAAAAUGCAUCAGUUCAGUUAACCCUCCUCUGGUCUGAAACCGCCUCAUAAUUACCUGAUAAACACAUGGGUGGUUGAUUGUUUUUUGCAAGUCAAAUAAGUUUUUAUUUUAUCUGACAAAUUACAUGUUAUUAAAAUUUAGAAGAUGUGUAUUUGUGGGCAUAAAAAAUGAGUCGUGGAUUCAACAGACCCAUAAAAUAUGAGGGAUGUCAUGGUUGACAGUGAGGGAGGAAACAUGGAGCAUCUUGUGUCAUAUACGUAUACUUGCAGAGACUUUCAUUGCCUCUGGCUCUCUUUUGAUGCUGAAAGCUCAUUCCAUGUGGAACCGGCUCCCAGUUCUGCUCUUUCUAUCGUUUCAAUGUAAUUUCAUUGUACUACUGUAAUUUCAUCUCAUUGUAUUGAUACAUGCCAUUGAUGAUUGUU